AACGAACGCUGGCGGCAGGCCUAACACAUGCAAGUCGAGCGAGGACUUCGGUCCUAGCGGCGGACGGGUGAGUAACGCGUGGGAACGUGCCCUUUGCUUCGGAAUAGCCCUGGGAAACUGGGAGUAAUACCGGAUGAGCCCUUAGGGGGAAAGAUUUAUCGGCGAAGGAUCGGCCCGCGUUGGAUUAGGUAGUUGGUGGGGUAAUGGCCUACCAAGCCGACGAUCCAUAGCUGGUUGGAGAGGAUGAUCAGCCACACUGGGACUGAGACACGGCCCAGACUCCUACGGGAGGCAGCAGUGGGGAAUCUUAGACAAUGGGGGAAACCCUGAUCUAGCCAUGCCGCGUGAGCGAUGAAGGCCUUAGGGUUGUAAAGCUCUUUCAGCUGGGAAGAUAAUGACGGUACCAGCAGAAGAAGCCCCGGCUAACUCCGUG
rnacentral:rRNA from 1 species